rnacentral:misc_RNA from 1 species
AGACUGAGCAAAAGAUAGCUUUAAGAACUUAGCUGUAGCCUUCAUUCCUUCAUUGCUGCAUGUUGCUUAAAUAUACAAAAGAACACCUUCAGUUAGUGCUAGCGGUUGGUUCAUUGACCGAUUCGUUGGUAGCAGUGGUUGGUUCAUUGACCGAUUCAUUGACUCCCAAGGCAUCAGCUAGAUUGAAGUUUAGAUUGCUUCUCAUAGUUCCGAUCCUUCCAAUUUCGUCAUCUGUCUUUCUCAUCAUUGCAGUGAACUCUGCAUAAUCUAUUCGUGCAUCAUUGUCCUGAUCAAUUUCUUUGAUCAUUUCAUCCAGUUGAACAUCAUCUAAACCAAAGUCUUUGCAAGCCUGCUGAAGCUCAUCAACUGUGAUGUAGCCACUUUGUCAAAAUAGGUGAAGGCUGCAAUUAAAUUCUCCUCUCUCUCCAUCUUAUUUAAGUGCAAAGUCGCAGCAAGAAAUUCUCCAUAUUCUAUUGUUCCACUCUUGUCAAUAUCAGCCGCUUCCAUUAGAGCCUUGAUUUCAGAUUCCGUCAGUUCGGAACCCACUCUCUUCAAACCCACUUUAAGUUCUUCGAAUGUUAUUGUCCCACUAUUAUCCGUAUCAAGCAUGUUAAACAACUCUUUCAAGCCACCAAUUUC